UACGUAGGGUGCGAGCGUUGUCCGGAAUUAUUGGGCGUAAAGAGCUCGUAGGCGGUUUGUUGCGUCGGCCGUGAAAACCUGCAGCUUAACUGUGGGCCUGCGGCCGAUACGGGCAGACUUGAGUUCGGUAGGGGAGACUGGAAUUCCUGGUGUAGCGGUGAAAUGCGCAGAUAUCAGGAGGAACACCGAUGGCGAAGGCAGGUCGCUGGGCAUUAACUGACGCUGAGGAGCGAAAGCAUGGGGAGCGAACAGG
rnacentral:rRNA from 1 species